GAUGAAGAACGUAGUGAAAUGCGAUACGUAAUGUGAAUUGCAGAAUUCAGUGAAUCAUCGAGUCUUUGAACGCACAUUGCGCCCCCUGGUAUUCCGGGGGGCAUGUCUGUCCGAGCGUCAUUGCUGCCCUCAAGCACGGCUUGUGUGUUGGGCCUCCGUCCUCCUCCCGGGGGACGGGCCCGAAAGGCAGCGGCGGCACCGCGUCCGGUCCUCGAGCGUAUGGGGCUUCGUCACCCGCUCUUGUAGGCCCGGCCGGCGCUUGCCGACACAUCAAUCUUUUUUCCAGGUUGACCUCGGAUCAGGUAGGGAUACCCGCUGAACUUAAGCAUAUCAAUAAGCGGAGGA
rnacentral:misc_RNA from 1 species